rnacentral:lncRNA from 10 species
UGCCAGGUAAACAGUGGGUGCUCAACAAAUGUGUACGGUUAACAUCCCACACUCAGCACACAGCUCCCCAGGGCCCAGAGAAGCCCUCUGGUGGGGUGAGAGCCACUCCCGCAGGACCGGUCUCUACCAUAGGCGAGCAUCCCCAAGCCGGCGCUGCCGUAAAGAACUCUCGCGCUAUGGAUUUCAUUAUUCGCAUCUUACAUCUUUCUGCCAGGCCUGUGAGCAGAGGAGGAGUUGCAGUUUGCAAGAUGCAGACAACAGUCUUCUCAGGGCCCAGCCCAGCAUGGCUUUGGGACGCAUAACCCUUACUCUCCCAGGGAGCAGUAACAACAAAGUGCACACACACAGCCCGGUGAGUCCACCGCACGCAGAGCUGUGCUGAAGCUCCCCGUUGAUUUUAGCUCGUGGGGUUUGGCAGUUGCAUUUUGCUCGGACUUUGACUUCAUUUGAAACUCCAUGGUGGGAAAAUAUGUCAAUCAGAUUGUUUUCUUGAGAAUGAGGCCUUUGCUAACAGGCAUAGAAAUCUAACCUGCGUGAUGAAAUAAGGCAGUUUCUGCUGGACAGAUGGGGUGAAGUUUGGAUCUUUAGAAACUCUGGGAAAAUUUGAACAAUAGUAAACUCUGAGAAUCUGCUGAGAAUUCAUCUCUGUCGCCUUCUUGCCGGCGGUUCCAGUUUUGGGGGAAUGAGUCAACAAUUCUGUGUGUGGCAGUGAGUGUUUUCAGAAGGUAGCCAUCCACCUGGACCCUUCUCCCCCAGCCUGUUCCAUUCCCCAUGGCUCCAGCCACACCCUCAGGUGAGAGCCAGCAUUGCUACCAUCUGGGCCUAUCUCAGGGACUGGUGCCC